rnacentral:rRNA from 1 species
GAUGAACGCUGGCGGCGUGCUUAACACAUGCAAGUCGAACGGUGAAGGCGGAGCUUGCUCUGCUGGAUCAGUGGCGAACGGGUGAGUAACACGUGAGCAAUCUGCCCCUGAUUCUGGGAUAAGCGCUGGAAACGGCGUCUAAUACUGGAUACGAGCUGCGAAGGCAUCUUCAGCAGCUGGAAAGAAUUUCGGUCAGGGAUGAGCUCGCGGCCUAUCAGCUUGUUGGUGAGGUAAUGGCUCACCAAGGCGUCGACGGGUAGCCGGCCUGAGAGGGUGACCGGCCACACUGGGACUGAGACACGGCCCAGACUCCUACGGGAGGCAGCAGUGGGGAAUAUUGCACAAUGGGCGAAAGCCUGAUGCAGCAACGCCGCGUGAGGGACGACGGCCUUCGGGUUGUAAACCUCUUUUAGCAGGGAAGAAGCGAAAGUGACGGUACCUGCAGAAAAAGCGCCGGCUAACUACGUG